AAUGCAGUGGCGUAAUGGUUAGUGCGUUGGACUCCAGAUCGAGUGGUCCAGGUUUGAGCCCUGGCCUGGGUCACUGUGUUG